rnacentral:rRNA from 1 species
UACGGGGGGGGCAAGCGUUGUUCGGAAUUACUGGGCGUAAAGGGCUCGUAGGCGGCCAACUAAGUCAGACGUGAAAUCCCUCGGCUUAACCGGGGAACUGCGUCUGAUACUGGAUGGCUUGAGAUUGGGAGAGGGAUGCGGAAUUCCUGGUGUAGCGGUGAAAUGCGCAGAUAUCAGGAGGAACACCGGUGGCGAAGGCGGGUCUCUGGGCCGAAAUUGACGCUGAGGAGCGAAAGCGUGGGGAGCAAACAGG